rnacentral:tRNA from 1 species
AGUGAUUAAGCGCUCGGCUGCUAACCGAAAGGUUGGUGGUUCGAACCCACCAGCCACUC